AUAAAAGCGGCAAACUUUCCUCCCCUUUUCCCCCAAAUCCCUCCCCCUUUUUAUUUUCAUUUUGGCUCUCACCUUCCCCAAUCCAUUCAACCCUUGGACUCGCGCUUUCAGCUAUGAGAUAUAUGUCCCAACUAAUCCUCGUGGUGCAGAAUUAUUGCCACCAGGGAUUGUGGUUUCGGAAUCAGAUUUUUAUUUAGGAAGGUGUGGGGUGAAUAAAGUGAGGUUCUAAAUAAAGAUAGUGAGGUUCAUCCACAUCAGUACUUAUAUCUCCAUUCCAGUUCUAAUCAUUAGUCUCAUGUCUUAUUCGGUUGGUAUUUCUGUUUUACUUUUUUCUUUUGUGAAUAUUAUGUCCUUUCUAUUGAUAGAUAGAUUCACAAGCAGAUCGUGACUAUAAUUUUAUAUUUUUGGUAUAUUUAUGCUUUUUGAAAUUGGGAUAGAUGUAGUUUUUUGGCAUUUGCUUUGGCUCUCUUUUUUGGGUUGUAAUGUUCCUAACGAAUAGGCUGUUUCUGGCUUUGCGGAUGCAAGUCUCUCUUUGGCUGUGUUACUUUGAUUCCCACAUCUCAUUGUAAGUUAGUUUCUUCUUUGUCUAUAUUCGUUUCUUUAGCAUAUAUGUAUUAAAACUGACUUAAUGCAUUUCAAUGCACUGAUUCUAUCCCCAUUAGUAAUGGAAGUUUGGAAUGGAAAUAGUUACAUUUAGUGAUCUGAGUAUUACUAUCUUGUAUUCAUCUUGAGGAAGAUGUUAUAUCUGUAUCUCUGGUUUCAAUGGACACUUCAUAUUCCAAAGGACUGAAUAUUUUGCGAGAUUAGGUGUUAUAUGUUCUCUUAGAAAAUUCGGUGAAAUUUUAUAAUUACUGUGAUUUCAAUUUGGAGCUUAGGAGGAUUAGUUGCCUUGGUAAAACUAAAACCAUAGUGACCUUUCUGUUCCUUAGUUUUAUUGAUAAAUUUUAGUGUCUUGCACUAAAGAAUUUUGAAGUUUAAGAAGUAAAUUCUUUUUUAGAGAAAGGCAAUUGUAUUAUAAAGCUAGCACUUAGGAAGUGAUGUAGUAAUUUUUUUUGGUUAAAGUACUGUAGUAAUUACAAGUGAGUAUAACACCAGAAGAAAAACUCUUUCCAAUAUUACAGGAAUUUCAAGAAAUAAAUCUUUGUGUCGUGUAUCUAUAAUGCCUUAUUUGUACUACCGAUUAUCAUUCAUUCACUACUUUUUUAUAUGCUACUAGUGUUCGUCAGUAGUUCCACUUGUAUAUUUGUGUGGAGAAAGAGAGGUAGUUCUCUGCUUUAAUAGAAGCCUUUAUUGUUUAAUGUGUGGUAUAGAUUUAAACACACGGAAAGAAAUAGUCACAAGUUAACCAAUAAGAAAUGAAACCUUUGAUAUGCAAAUAGGAAGCGGUACCAAAUGCAACAUGUCAUAGUAUAUGUUUCCUUGACCCAUGGUCCAAUAUUGCUUGCAGCCUAUAAUUAUAAUUGUCGCAUGACUGUUGUACAUGUUUUUGGUAGAGCUGGACCUGCUAUGUAAUUCCAAACACAUAACCAGUUGAGUUUAUUCACUUUUGAAAAACUAACUCUGUUCAAUCUACAACUUCUUCUUUUUUGUGCUAUAUUCUAUAUCAUGGACAUUGCCUAUAUAGGUAGUAAUGCUGAAUUCUUUCUGAGUAUACUACUCCAAGUCUCCUUCCUAUUUCACCAAGCUAGUUGAGGAUUCUUGAUUUUGUCAAUGAAUUAGAAAAACUAUGGAGGAGAUUGAAAUUGAUGGAACUAGUGUUAUAGAGUGAAUUGUAUCUUUUGUUUCCUCUACUCUGUUUUAUGGCCUUCACAUUUUUGCUACUAUUUAUAUUUGUUAAUCUUAUAGUGCUAUAUUUUGGAAGAAGAGGAUGAGGCAAGUCUUACAAGUCA